CCGCGAUGGCAGAUGAUCGCUCCGGAGCAAUCCGGAGAGGAAAGUCCGAACACCAGACGGCAGCAUGCCGCGCAGAACGCGCGGGCGCUUUUCGCGAAAGCGAUAAGCGACGGAGAGUGUCACAGAAAAUAUACCGCCUAACGAGUGCCGCAGGGCAUCCGAAAGGUAAGGGUGAAAAGGCGAGGUAAGAGCUCACCGCUCGUUGCGCAAGCGGCGAGGCAGGAAAAACCCCAUGCGGUGCAAGACAAAACAGAGGAAGGGCAGCCGGUCCGUUAAACCCUCGGGUAUCGUCGCAUCACGCGGCCAUGUGGCGCCGGUCUCUGACCGGCGAUGGCGUGACCGCGGGCGUUCGCCACGGCGAAUGAGAUAAAUGAUCAUCGCCCCAAAGAAAUUCGGGACACAGAAUUCGGCUUAUCGCCAUCGCAACGAA
rnacentral:RNase_P_RNA from 1 species